rnacentral:lncRNA from 1 species
AGCAGGCUAAAAUCAUGAUAGACUUUAAAAAUAAACAAACCUCAAAUUUCUCUUAGCUAAAGCAUGUGGAUUGACUAGAGAAACCAAACAGUACUCUGGGGACGGAUCCUUAGGCAGGUGUGUUGCCAUGUCAGACCCUGCAGAGCUGUGACCUCACUGGGGGGCCUCUCUAUCAUUUGGAUAGCCCAGGUGGAGCUGCGUGCUUUUCAAAUUCAAUGGGCCUGUAAGUUCACAUUCCAACAAGAUAAAGUCCAGUCCACCAGGAAUGAGGGACAUGACAGACAGCCACGUGCUGGGACUUGGAGCUUGGGAGAAGGACAGACCUUUGGGCCAUUAUAAUCACUGUGGAACUGAACAGAGCUGAGGGAGCUACACCCUCCAUCCCAGCCAAGAAAUGCAUCCUGGAAGGAAUUUCAUACUUGGAAAUUAGUUUAGCACUCACAUUUUUUGCCUAAACUAACAGUUUGGGGAGAGAAAGAAAAGGAAUACUUGUUGGCAAGUAACUAUUGUAGCUGAGCACAUGAAAAGCAGUUUUAAUCCACUUAGUUUAGCUGGCAACUGUCUUUGUCAUCUGCUUGGAAGGUACUUAAUGAACACAAGGAAAAGAGCAGCCCCAUGUACCUGCUGCUACAAGGAAAUGCAGAAUUGAAGGGUUACUGCUCUCAUCUGAAAUAUGUGGGGUAAAGCUGCAUAAAAUAAAACCAGUCAAUG